rnacentral:lncRNA from 1 species
GGUAAUAUCACUCAUUUAUCAUUUAAGGUAAUAUGCACAGGUUCUGAAGGUUAGGAAAUGAGUAUGUCUUUGGCAGGGCAGACAUUUUACCUGCCGACCAUACCAAUCCUACCACCAGUAACAACCAGAAAAGCUCAACAAAACAUUGAACAAACAAAAAAAUCUGUGUGAAGACCAAAGACCCAAGUCCUUGCAAGAACCUAAGUAUUCAAGAUCAUGAAGGAAAGGGUGGUGCAAAGAGGAGACCCAACCUCUCUACUGGAUGUUUUACAAAUAUAGCAUUGACUGGCGUUUAAGACUGUUGCUGUAAGUUUAUGUUGGGAGUAACAACGAUCAAAGCAGAAGAUAAUUUUUACUUUUCUAUACCAUCUAUGCAUGGAAGUCUAUCUACAUGGCCCAUACAGGCUUAUCAUAUGACCUUGUAACUGCUUUCAUGUUGACUUCUCCAGGACUCAAAGAACAGUCAAGGGCAAUGCUAAGCAACACCAGCCAUCACCAUCCGGCUCUCCACUCCGACCUUCAGUAACCACUCACUUACCCAACAGAUAUACACUGAGCACCUACUAUGUACAGGUUCAAGCCAACAGCCAUGUGGGUGAGACCUCCUGGAGGCAGAUUGUCCAGGCUCAAUCAAAGCACAGAAGACUGCAGCCCUAGCCAAUGUCUUAGACUGCAACCUCACAAGGGACCUUGAGCCAGAACCACCCAGCCACUCCUGGAUUCCUGGCGCAC